ncrna:unclassified sequences Glutamine riboswitch
AUCGUUCAACUCAUUGUGAGUCGGAAGUAGGCAUUACUAGUGCUGAAGGAACGCAUG